rnacentral:rRNA from 1 species
UGGGGAAUAUUGGACAAUGGGCGCAAGCCUGAUCCAGCAAUGCCGCGUGUGUGAAGAAGGCCUGCGGGUUGUAAAGCACUUUCAGUGGGGAAGAACGGAUGCGGGCCAAUACCCCGGAUCACUGACGUUACCCACAGAAGAAGCACCGGCUAACUCCGUGCCAGCAGCCGCGGUAAUACGGAGGGUGCAAGCGUUAAUCGGAAUCACUGGGCGUAAAGCGCACGUAGGCGGCCCGUUAAGUCAGAUGUGAAACCCCUGGGCUCAACCUGGGAAUGGCAUUUGAUACUAGCGGGCUCGAGUCUGAUAGAGGGGGGUGGAAUUCCAGGUGUAGCGGUGAAAUGCGUAGAUAUCUGGAGGAACACCGGUGGCGAAGGCGGCCCCCUGGAUCAUGACUGACGCUGAGGUGCGAAAGCGUGGGUAGCAAACAG